AUUUGACUAAAAUAAAAUAGAGAGAGUGAGAGUACAAAAUAAAUAAUUUUGUUUUUCAAAUUUCGCGCGCUUAUUCCGAGUAAUUUGAAUUUAAUUCAAAUUUUAUUAACAUUUAACUAAAAUGAAAUAAUUCAAGUGAGAGAACAAGAAACAAAAGUGAAAAAUAAUUAUUUUCAAAUUUCGCGCGCUUAUUUCGGGAGAUUUAAAUUUUAUUUUUAAACUUUCAAAUUAUAUUUACCCUGAAGUUUAAAUGUAACUUUAAUAGACACGCAAUAAUACUUGUACACUGAAUUUUAUUACUUGAAGCUCUUAUUUUUACCCUUUAUUUUAUUUAUUACCCAAAUUUUAUGGGAGUAUAAAUUUAAAACACAGUAAUUUAUCACACCUUGAAAAUUAACUUUAAACAAAAUUUAUCUGCUUUAAAUUAUCAAUGGGUAGUUAAAUAAAUUUUUUAUAAGAGUGUGCACGUGGUUUAAUUAUUUUCACGGUUUAUAACAAUAAAACGAUGUACCCGACCCGAGAGCUUGCUGCUCACUGACAGUUUCUGCUCCGUAGUUUUGUGGACUCCGCGCCCCACUACUUUUUAUCACUCCCACCCUUAGAUAAGACUUUUUCCCAGCAGGAAGAUACUCAUAUUUAUAUAUAUACAUAUUUAUAAAUAUUAUUUGAUAUUUAUGGUGUAAAUUAUUAUAAAUUAAUAAUCUGUCGUUGUCUUCACAUUAUUGUUUCAUUACCACUAGGUUAUGUUUUACACUAAUGACAAGAUGACAUUACUACUGGAUUAUUUAAUUACCUGUGAAGUUAACGACCGAAAAAUUAAAUUCGUAAUUAUGGAAUAGUUCAAAUGAAUUUACUUAUUUUAAAUAUUUAAAUUACGAAGAUUUUAAAAAAUUGAAUAAUUAAUUAGACACAAUCUGCCAGCGAACGUUGAAGAAAACUGCAAAGAUUUUUUAAAUAAUUAAAUACUAGAGGUACAGUGAAAGGAUAAAUAUUAAAUCCCAGAAUUUGAAUCAGCUCUCGCUGAAACUCCACGAAAAUUUCAUUGUUUACUAAAGUACACGGCUCUUUUAAAAUCCAAAGCUGACAGACGAAUUCACAAGUUCCAUAUAUGAAUACGACGUUAGUAUACCAGUGAUGUAAAUUUAAUGCACCUUCUAUACCGCUUUCAAUGAGUUUUCUUGCGAUUUUUAUCGCAAAAUUGCGACUUGAAGGGACCAGCCUGUUGGAGAAGAAAAACCGAAGCGAUCCGCAUAUAAAAGACUUUGUGAUAUCAUCGGGCUUUUCAUCUGAAAAAAAUUACAUUUUUUUUUACAAACAAUUAAAAAUUAUUUUAAAUAUUUAAUUAAACCCAAUCAAUAAUUAGCGAGAUUCCGCUUGAUUACCAUUUAAUUUUACUGGUGCACGUCACAAGUACAAAAUUUUUAAUUGAUGAUGAUAGUAAUUGAAAAAAUAUAUAAUCAGUAAGAAAAUAAAUAAUUAUCUGUGAUCAAUAACUUUACAAGUAAAAAACACAGAAAGAGAGAACUGGGAGUCGGGUAAUUUAUUUUACUGACAACAAUUAAUUUUAAAAUAAUGAAGUACAGUACAGAUGAUAGAUUAAAAUAAUCGACAAGUUAACAAGUAGUAGAAUAAUGUUAAGACUUUUCUUAGAAAGUUCAACAGCCGCAAAAUAAUAUCUUUUAAAAUAAAUACUCAAUCUUUAUCUUCAACAAACAAUAUAAUUUAUUUUAUUAUUUUUUAUUAUUAGAUUUCUAUUUAUAACUCAGUAAAAUAUUAUUUUAUGUCCUAUGAAAUAAUUAAAUUUCUUAAUUGAAUAAAUUUAUACUUUUCGAUACCCGUACUUAUAACUAAUCGAUUUUAUU